CCUAUGGGGUGCANCAGGCGAGAAAACUUUGCAAUGUGCGAAAGCACGACAAGGUUAAUCCGAGUGGUUUCUGCUAAAGGAACCUUUUGUUAGUCUCUAGAACCANUAGACGANGAAGGGGNGGGCAAUAAGUGGU
rnacentral:rRNA from 1 species